GUGGGGAAUAUUGGACAAUGGGCGCAAGCCUGAUCCAGCCAUGCCGCGUGAGUGAUGAAGGCCCUAGGGUUGUAAAGCUCUUUCACCGGUGAAGAUAAUGACGGUAACCGGAGAAGAAGCCCCGGCUAACUUCGUGCCAGCAGCCGCGGUAAUACGAAGGGGGCUAGCGUUGUUCGGAAUUACUGGGCGUAAAGCGCACGUAGGCGGACAUUUAAGUCAGGGGUGAAAUCCCGGGGCUCAACCCCGGAACUGCCUUUGAUACUGGGUGUCUGGAGUAUGGAAGAGGUAAGUGGAAUUCCGAGUGUAGAGGUGAAAUUCGUAGAUAUUCGGAGGAACACCAGUGGCGAAGGCGGCUCACUGGCUCGAUACUGACGCUGAGGUGCGAAAGCGUGGGGAGCAAACAGGAUUAGAAACCCCAGUAGUCC
rnacentral:rRNA from 1 species